AGUGAAUAGAUACCCCGGUAGUCCACGCCCUAAACGAUCUUGACUGGCUUUGGGGAGUAUCGACCCUCUCCGAGGCGAAAGCUAAACGCGUUAAGUCAAGCGCCUGGGUAGUACGAGCGCAAGCUUAAAAACUCAAAGGAAUAGACGGGGACUCGCACAAGCGGUGGAGCGUGCGGCUUAAUUCGUCGCUAAGCGAAGAACCUCACCAGGGUUUGAAACCUAGUUGCAAGCCUUUGGAAACAUUGGCCCUCUUCGGACAAUUAGGCAGGUGAUGCAUGGCCGUCGUCAGUUCGUGGUUUGAAUUGUACCGUUAAGUCGGGCAACGAACGCAACCCCUGCUGUCUGUUACACGUAUCAGGCAGGACUGCCCUUUUUGGGAGGAAGGUGGGGAUGACGCCAGGUCCGUAUUUCCCUCUGAUAUCCUGGGCGGCACGCGCGCUACAAUGGGUGCUACAACGGGACGCGACGGGGUAACCCUGAGCAAAUCCUAAGAAAAGCAUCCUCAGUUCGGAUUGUGGGCUGCAACUCGCCCACAUGAAGUUGGAAUCGCUAGUAAUC
rnacentral:rRNA from 1 species